GACGAACCGAGCGAACGUUGUUCGGAAUCACUGGGCUUAAAGGGCGCGUAGGCGGGUGCUCAAGUCCGUGGUGAAAUCCUCCGGCUCAACCGGAGAACUGCCUCGGAUACUGGGUGCCUCGAGGGUGGUAGGGGUAUGCGGAACUAUCGGUGGAGCGGUGAAAUGCGUUGAUAUCGAUAGGAACUCCGGUGGCGAAGGCGGGUCUCUGGGCAGUAACUGACGCUGAGGAGCGAAAGCGUGGGGAGCGAACGGG
rnacentral:rRNA from 1 species